rnacentral:snRNA from 1 species
GUGCUAGCUUCGGCAGCACAUGUACUAAAAUUGGGAUGAUACAGAGAAGAUUAGCAUGGCCCCUGUGCAAGGAUGACACGCAAAUUCAUGAAGCAUUCCAUAUUUUU